rnacentral:lncRNA from 1 species
UGCAUAUAAAGAAAAAAAAAACUAAAACUUAAAUAAAACCUAAAUAUUCUCUCUCUCUCUCUCCACUUCAUGUUAAAAACUACCCAACUUUAUCCCCCCUUCUAAUUGUGCGUGUGUGAAUGAUUAUUUCAGGAUAGUUUAACAAACAGCCGUCUUUACCCAUAUUGUCUUUUCUUCUACUCACGGUAAUUCUUCAACUUUUCCUUGCAUUUUUUGUUCAAUUUUCUUAUAUGGGUGUUGUUUAUUGAGUAAAAGUUUUGAUUUUUGUCAUCAGAUUUGUCUUGUUUCUCCUUUUAUGUUUUUCCUUCAAAUCAUAUAUAUAUAUGUUAGGGAUUGAAAUACUUUGGAGCUAUUAUUUGAAUAUUUUUAUACUUAUCAAGUGUUUGAUAAAAUUCCUAAGAGAAUCUAGUAAAAGAAAAACAUAAAAUAUGCCAAUAAAUGAAGGAAAUUAGAAGCGAAGUUUAGUAGGUUUUGAGAAACUUUUGCAAAAUUGGGAUAUUAAGAUGAAUUUGCUUUUCAAUUUGGCCAGUGGAUUUUGGAAUUAGGUGUGAUGACAUUAGAUCCCCUCACCCCAAAAAAAAAAAAAAAAUCUUUUGUAAGAACUUUAGAAAAUUGGGAUCUUUCUAUUAUUGUUCACUUCAUCUUGGUAUAUAAUUAAUCAUCUUUGUUUUUUUUUUUAAAGAAAAUUGUACCUAGUAUUAAUGUAAUGAAAAGAGUUAAUAAGUUAUUCAAAAGUUAGAGUUAUAGAAUAUUUAAGCUACAAAAUUUUAACUAUAAAAUAUUAGGUAGCUUUGAUAUGUUGGUUCAAAGGAUGGUGUUGAAGCCUGGCUUGGUUCAAAAUUAAUGUAUUUAUCUUCUUUUGUACUGGAAUAAUAAAAAGAAUGGAGUCUGUCCUACAUUACUUUGUUUCAGAAGAUGUAUUAGAGUGGGCGCAAAAGGUUCAAGUAGUCUCCAUACGAAAUCUAAAUAUGUAAGCUAUCUUAUGAUUAUUACUAUUAUUAUUUUUUACUCAAUAUCUUAUUUCUUUCAGCUUUGUAUUUAUUGUAAAUGUUGAUUCAUUGAGUGCUUAAUAAUUUAACUUAGUUCAAGUUUGACACAAACUAUUUAAUAGAUUAAUUUAAAGCGUUUGGAAUGCAAAAUUUUUGCAAGUGAAUUAAGAUUGAGUAUGUGCUUGUAAUCUUUUGAUUAUAUUGUUAGUUUGAAGUGACAUAUGAUCAAAUUGGUGAAAUUGUUUUGGGAAAAAUCUUUAAUUUUGUAAAGAUUAAAAAUGACAGGUACCUUCAAAGUCAUCAUCUACUACAAUAUUGACUCAACAAAGCGAGUAUAAAAAAUAAAAAUCAAGAAAUAAAAUAUAAAAUCUAAGGAAGUUGAAGCAUUCAUGAAACAAUUGUGCUUUACAUAUUUCUCCUUUUGUAUAAUGUUACUUUUAUUUUUCUUCUACAAUGUAAUCUUAUUUUUAGACUAUUGAUUUUUUUUUCACAUUUUAGAUUUCUUUGUCAUUAAAUUUUGAUUUCGAUGACUA